rnacentral:rRNA from 1 species
UCCUACGGGACGCAGCAGUGGGGAAUAUUGGGCAAUGGGCGCAAGCCUGACCCAGCAACGCCGCGUGAAGGAAGAAGGCUUUCGGGUUGUAAACUUCUUUUCUCAGGGACGAAGAAAGUGACGGUACCUGAGGAAUAAGCCACGGCUAACUACGUGCCAGCAGCCGCGGUAAUACGUAGGUGGCAAGCGUUAUCCGGAUUUAUUGGGUUUAAAGGGUGCGUAGGCGGAUCGUUAAGUCAGUGGUCAAAUUGAGGGGCUCAACCCCUUCCCGCCAUUGAAACUGGCGCUCUUGAGUGGAAGAGAAG